rnacentral:lncRNA from 1 species
UUUGCCUGAAAAUUUUUGUGCCAUCUUUUCAUGAUUUUAGGGUGUUGCUCACAAAAUUUCAAGUCAUUUGGAUAUCAUUUGAGGGUAGCUGUACUUCAAACCUACACUGUUACUUGCAUAAGAAGGCAACUAGUUGUGCAUGCUGAAUGUAGUGUAUGACUAGAGGCAAUUCAUUUGACUUACAACCCUUUGAUCCUGAGAUAGAUAGGACAUUUCAUAGAUUAGUUAGGCAUCAUUUUGUACCUUUUGAGCAUCCUGAGCAUUUUGUUAUUGGUAAUUUUGAACAUCCUGAUUUUGAGCAUUAUAGUUUUGAACAUUCUGAGAACAUGUCACAACC